UACGAAAGGGGCUAGCGUUGUUCGGAAUUACUGGGCGUAAAGCGCACAUAGGCGGAUUGUUAAGUGAGGGGUGAAAUCCCAGGGCUCAACCCUGGAACUGCCUUUCAUACUGGCAAUCUAGAGUCCAGAAGAAAUGAGUGGAAUUCCAAGUGUAGAGGUGAAAUUCGUAGAUAUUCGAAGGAACACCAGUGACGAAAGCGGCUCACUGGUCUAGAACUGACGCUGAGGUGCGAAAGCGUGGGGAGCAAACAAG
rnacentral:rRNA from 1 species